CUGUGUUGCUUACCAAUGAAAUGGAAUUCAAUGGUUUUGUUUUGUGGAUCCGCCUUGCGCCUUUUGGGGUGCGGGGUGGACGUGAGGUGAGCAUUGUGUUCCCAAUGUGCCUACUGCAUUUGCAUAUGGUUGUUGUGGCCCAUGGUGUUUUUGCUUGUUCUCUUGGAUGCGGAAAGCUAUGUGUGGGCGUGUGAGGUCUAGGCCUCAAAUCGUCCAAGCACACUGUCCUUUGACUCGAACGACUGUUGCACCUGUCUUGAUCUCUCCGACCAAGGCCUCGUAAUGGGGCUUACUGGACGAGGAGGGCUCAUGUGGGUGUUGGCGUCUAAGAGGAAAGCUAC
rnacentral:misc_RNA from 1 species